rnacentral:rRNA from 1 species
GGCCCGCACAAGCGGUGGAGUAUGUGGUUUAAUUCGAUGCAACGCGAAGAACCUUACCAGGGUUUGACAUCCUGCGAACCUCUGGGAAACCGGAGGGUGCCUUCGGGAACGCAGUGACAGGUGGUGCAUGGCUGUCGUCAGCUCGUGUCGUGAGAUGUUGGGUUAAGUCCCGCAACGAGCGCAACCCACGUCUUUAGUUGCCAGCAUUAGUUGGGCACUCUAGAGAGACCGCCGGUGACAAACCGGAGGAAGUGUGGAUGACGUCAAAGUCAUCAUGCCCCUUACGUCCUGGGCUACACACGUACUACAAUGCUACGGACAAAAGGGCUGCAAGGUUCGCGAGGACAAGCAAAUCCCAUAAACCGUGGCUCAGUUCAGA